rnacentral:lncRNA from 1 species
ACUCCACGCAUAAAAGAAAUAUUGCCUUCCACAGGGCACACUAAGCGCAAACACAACUGCCAGUCGCUGCGGCACGGACAUACUAAUCGCAGCAGCAGCGCUGCUCAUUUGUGUCGCUGCGGUGUACCACGUCCAGGUAUCAGAACAAAUGAACUUACCAUGACUUCAGCGUGGUUCAACUCAACCUCCGACGGCUGCCGGGAGCCAUCCGCUCCGGCCAGCGUACCGGCACCCCACGGCGAGCCACCGCGGGCAACACUGACGUCGAAGAGCCCGGCACCGCUGGAGUAACCGGCAGGCACGAAAACCAUGCCAUGGUGCGCCAGCUGCGUGACAGCCGUCAUGAGCGUAGUCUCC